rnacentral:rRNA from 1 species
CCUACGGGAGGCGGCAGUGGGGAAUAUUGCACAAUGGGGGAAACCCUGAUGCAGCGACGCCGCGUGAGUGAAGAAGGAAUUCGGGAUGGAAAGCUCUAGCAGCAGGGAAGAAAAUGACGGUACCUGAGUAAGAAGCCGCGGCGAACGACGUGCCAGCAGCCGCGGGAAUCCGUAGGGGGCAAGCGUUAUCCGGAUUUACGGGGUGUCAAGGGAGCGGAGCCGGCAGGGCAAGGCUGGAGGGAAAGGAGGGGGCUCAACCCCCGGACUGCGCUGGAAACUGUACGGCUGGAGUGCAGGAGAGGUAAGUGGCCUUCCUCGUGUAGCGGUGAACUGCGUAGAUCUUCGGAGGAC